rnacentral:sRNA from 1 species
UGCUGUUUGGAGAAAUCACACGUUUGUUGAACCACAUCAUGGCUGUGACCACACAUGCCCUGGACCUUGGGGCCAUGACCCCUUUCUUCUGGCUGUUUGAAGAAAGGGAGAAGAUGUUUGAGUUCUACGAGCGAGUGUCUGGAGCCCGAAUGCAUGCUGCUUAUAUCCGGCCAGGAGGAGUGCACCAGGACCUACCCCUUGGGCUUAUGGAUGACAUUUAUCAGUUUUCUAAGAACUUCUCUCUUCGACUUGAUGAGUUGGAGGAGGUAAGCUAGGAGUCAAUGGGAAAAAUCUCUCCCCCACAAGAAGGGCUUGUGGGGUUUUAUUCCCCAGUUGUAAAGAAAUACAGAGAUAUUUGAAGAGUGUGAGGAAGAGUAUUAACACACCAGUUUUCUUGAUCAAUAGUUGCUGACCAACAAUAGGAUCUGGCGAAAUCGGACAAUUGACAUUGGGGUUGUAACAGCAGAAGAAGCACUUAACUAUGGUUUUAGGUGAGGGGAAUACAACUUCUCUCCGUAGGAGUGGGGGUGGGAGUGGGGGAGUUCCAGCCUAAUAUCUUGUCUUUGAAGACUUGUUGGCAUCCUCCUAGUCAUACCCUGAAUGUGAAGGAUCAACAAGGGAGGCUAAGGAAGAAGGAGCCUCCUUACUUAGUUUGUGGAGAGUGGCCCUUAUUCCCAUUAUGCUCUCCACAGUGGAGUGAUGCUUCGGGGCUCAGGCAUCCAGUGGGACCUGCGGAAGACCCAGCCCUAUGAUGUUUACGACCAGGUUGAGUUUGAUGUUCCUGUUGGUUCUCGAGGGGACUGCUAUGAUAGGUACCUGUGCCGGGUGGAGGAGAUGCGCCAGUCCCUGAGAAUUAUCGCACAGUGUCUAAACAAGAUGCCUCCUGGGGAGAUCAAGGUUGAUGAUGCCAAAGUGUCUCCACCUAAGCGAGCAGAGAUGAAGACUUCCAUGGAGUCACUGAUUCAUCACUUUAAG